AUUGAACGCUGGCGGCAUGCUUUACACAUGCAAGUCGAACGGUAACAGGCCUUCGGGUGCUGACGAGUGGCGAACGGGUGAGUAAUGCAUCGGAACGUGCCCAGCGGUGGGGGAUAACGCAGCGAAAGCUGUGCUAAUACCGCAUGUGAUCUGAGGAUGAAAGCGGGGGACCAGGCAGCAAUGUUUGGCCUCGCGCCUUUGGAGCGGCCGAUGUCAGAUUAGGUAGUUGGUGGGGUAAAGGCCUACCAAGCCGACGAUCUGUAGCUGGUCUGAGAGGACGACCAGCCACACUGGGACUGAGACACGGCCCAGACUCCUACGGGAGGCAGCAGUGGGGAAUUUUGGACAAUGGGCGCAAGCCUGAUCCAGCAAUGCCGCGUGCGGGAAGAAGGCCUUCGGGUUGUAAACCGCUUUUGUACGGAACGAAAAGGCUCUGGCUAAUACCUGGGGCUGAUGACGGUACCGUAAGAAUAAGCACCGGCUAACUACGUG
rnacentral:rRNA from 1 species